AUGGUUUGUGUCAAGUCAGUCAAAUAUUCUGUCAAAUUCAAUGGACAACUGCUUGAGAGUUUUAUCCCUUCUAGAGGACUGAGGCAAGGUGACCCUUUAUCACCGUUCUUAUUUAUUUUUGUUGCUGAUGCCCUAUCUGCUUUAUUCUCAAAAUCAGUGGAGGAAGGGCCCCUGAAGGGUGUGUCUAUCUGUCGUGGUGCACCAGUUAUUUCUCACCUACUUUUUGCGGAUGAUACUAUGUUGAUGUUUGAAGCGUCUGGCCAGCAAGCGAGCAUUGUCAAGGGACUGUUGAACACUUAUACUUCAGCAACAGGUCAGCUCAUUAACCCAGAGAAGUGUUCCAUUCUUUUUUCAGACAAUUGCUCGACUGUGGAGGUAGAUGAAAUCAAGAGCACACUUGAGGUUACGCAACAGGUGUUUGAGCCAAAGUAUCUUGGUCUUCCGGUUCCGGAAGGUAGAGUGCAUAAGGGGCAAUUUGAAUCACUACAGGAAAGACUGAGGAAGAGAUUAAUUGAUUGGAGUGAGCAAUAUGUCUCAUCGGGGAAUAAAGAAAUCUUGAUCAAGGCGGUGGCAAAAGCAAUCCCCAUGUAUGUUAUGAGUGUUUUUCGGCUACCGGCUUCUGUGUGUGAUGAUCUAACACAUAUGAUGAGACAGUACUGGUGGGGAGUUGAACAAGGCAAGAGGAAAAUGGCUUGGCUUAGUUGGGAGAAAAUGAUUCUGCCCAAGGACAUGGGAGGCAUGGGAUUCAGAGAUAUGAGGGCUUUUAACCAGGCAUUACUUGCAAAGCAAGCAUGGAGAUUGCUCGAUAGCCCGGACAGCUUAUGUGCACGCCUACUCCAGGCGAAAUAUUAUCCCAAUGGGAAUCUGCUCGAUACAGUUUUCCCAUCUAGCUCGUCGGCUGUGUGGAAGGGAAUUAUGUUUGGACUUGAGCUGUUG
rnacentral:rRNA from 1 species